rnacentral:lncRNA from 1 species
UCAACUUUCCUCUCUUGACAUCUAUUAUGGCUCCUGCAGUUGAUAAGAAUGGUAUACCUAGAAGGAUUGGUAUAUCAUUGUCCUCUUUGAUGUCCAUGACAACAAAAUCAGUAGGGAUAAAUAACUGACCUAUCCUAACAGGGACAUCUUCUAAAAUGCCUAUCGGAUAUUUGACAGACCUAUCGACUAACUAAAGUGACAUCUUAAUGGGCUGUAAUUCUCCUAAGUUUAACCUCUCACAAACUACUAAAGGCAUUAAG